rnacentral:rRNA from 1 species
AUGAACGCUGGCGGCGUGCCUAAUACAUGCAAGUCGAGCGAACAGACGAGGAGCUUACUCCUCUGACGUUAGCGGCGGACGGGUGAGUAACACGUGGAUAACCUACCUAUAAGACUGGGAUAACUUCGGGAAACCGGAGCUAAUACCGGAUAACAUGUUGAACCGCAUGGUUCAACAGUGAAAGACGGUCUUGCUGUCACUUAUAGAUGGAUCCGCGUCGCAUUAGCUAGUUGGUAAGGUAACGGCUUACCAAGGCAACGAUGCGUAGCCGACCUGAGAGGGUGAUCGGCCACACUGGAACUGAGACACGGUCCAGCCUCCUACGGGAGGCAGCAGUAGGGAAUCUUCCGCAAUGGGCGAAAGCCUGACGGAGCAACGCCGCGUGAGUGAAGAAGGUCUUCGGCUCGUAAAACUCUGUUAUUAGGGAAGAACAAAUGUGUAAGUAACUCUGCACGUCUUGACGGUACCUAAUCAGAAAGCCACGGCUAACUACGUG